AAGUUUACGUUUAAAUUAUCUGAUUGGAGUUGUUCCUCUGUUUUAGAGUAACUUUUCCUUUUUUAAGAUGACUAUAUACGAGGCAUUUGUCUGAUACUGUC